UACGUAGGGUGCGAGCGUUAAUCGGAAUUACUGGGCGUAAAGCGUGCGCAGGCGGUUCUCCAAGUCCGUUGUGAAAGCCCCGGGCUCAACCUGGGAAUGGCAGUGGAAACUAGGGGACUGGAAUCUGGCAGAGGGGGGUGGAAUGCCGCGUGUAGCAGUGAAAUGCGUAGAGAUGCGGAGGAACACCGAUGGCGAAGGCAGCCCCCCUGGGCUAACACUGACGCUCAGGCACGAAAGCGUGGGGAGCAAACAGG
rnacentral:rRNA from 1 species